GGGACAUUAGCUCAGUCGGUUCAGAGCGUCCCGACGAGUCGGGAAGGUCACUGGUUCGAAUCCUGUAUGUCCCA
rnacentral:tRNA from 2 species